GAUGAACGCUGGCGGCGUGCCUAAUACAUGCAAGUCGAGCGAACAGAUAAGGAGCUUGCUCCUUUGACGUUAGCGGCGGACGGGUGAGUAACACGUGGGUAACCUACCUAUAAGACUGGAAUAACUCCGGGAAACCGGGGCUAAUGCCGGAUAACAUUUAGAACCGCAUGGUUCUAAAGUGAAAGAUGGUUUUGCUAUCACUUAUAGAUGGACCCGCGCCGUAUUAGCUAGUUGGUAAGGUAACGGCUUACCAAGGCAACGAUACGUAGCCGACCUGAGAGGGUGAUCGGCCACAAUGGAACUGAGACACGGUCCAGACUCCUACGGGAGGCAGCAGUAGGGAAUCUUCCGCAAUGGGCGAAAGCCUGACGGAGCAACGCCGCGUGAGUGAUGAAGGUCUUCGGAUCGUAAAACUCUGUUAUUAGGGAAGAACAAAUGUGUAAGUAACUGUGCACGUCUUGACGGUACCUAAUCAGAAAGCCACGGCUAACUACGUG
rnacentral:rRNA from 1 species